GGUAGUUCAGUGGUAGAGUACUUGCCUUGCAUGCAUGAGGCCCUGGGUUCGAUUCCUCAGUACCA
rnacentral:tRNA from 1 species